rnacentral:misc_RNA from 1 species
GAUGAAGAACGUAGCGAAAUGCGAUACUUGGUGUGAAUUGCAGAAUCCCGUGAACCAUCGAGUCUUUGAACGCAAGUUGCGCCCGAAGCCAUCAGGUUGAGGGCACGUCUGCCUGGGCGUCACAUAUCGUUGCCUGAUGCCAGUUUCCUCGUGAUGGGUGACUGUGCAGGGCGAAUGAUGGCUUCCCGUGAGCAUUGUUGCCUCAUGGUUGGUUGAAAAUUGAGUCCUUGGUAGGGAGCGCCGUGAUAGAUGGUGGUUGAGUGACGAACGAGACCCAAUCAUGUGAGACCCCUACCGAAUUUGGCCUUCAUGACCCACAUGCGUCUUUGGAACGCUCAUGACGAGACCUCAGGUCAGGCGGGGCUACCCGCUGAGUUUAAGCAUAUCAAUAAGCGGAGGA